GCCGGGAUGGCGGAACUGGCAUACGCGUACGCUUGAGGUGCGUAUGGGCAACCGUGUGGGUUCGAGUCCCACUCCCGGCA
rnacentral:tRNA from 1 species